rnacentral:misc_RNA from 1 species
CCUCUAUUACACACCGCCCGUCACACCACGAGAGUUUGUAACCCUCAAAGACGGUGGGGUAACCUUUUGGAGCCAGCCGCCUAAGGUGGGACAGAUGAUUGGGGUGAAGUCGUACUCAGGAAGCCGUAUCGGAAGGUGCGGCUGGAUCACCUCCUUUCUAAGGAUAUUGCCUUUAGGGCAAUCGGAAUGCAGACCUUCUGGUCUGUAAUGUUGACCGCUUUGUUUGUUUAGUUUUGAGGGAGCAAUCCUUCAAGAAAUUCGUUCUUUGAAAACUAGAUAAUCGUAUAGAAGAAACCAAGUAAAAACCGAGAAUCGCCAUUUUAGUUUUUCUCUCUUAUUUUAAUGUAAGAGAUUAACCUUUAGGUUAAGUUAGAAAGGGCGCACGGUGGAUACCUAGGCACACAGAGA